rnacentral:tRNA from 1 species
GCGAGUGUGGUUCAAUGGUAGAAUAACUGCCUUCCAAGCAGUAGACAUGGGUCCGAUCCCCAUCACUCGCA